GAGCAACGAACAACGAACACUUCCCGAGGGCGGCCACCACUACCUCGCCGGUCCACUCACAAACGAGGCAAAACUGGUCCGCAUGCCAGUCUCCUCCUGGGGUUUGCGGGCUCCCGGGUGCAGCGCAGCGCAAGACACAGCAAACAAAACACCUAUUGCCGCGGGGGGGAUGACAAGCCAGCACGGCGCCCCCCUACAAAGCCCGAAAAAGGCACGGCUCACAGACGCUGGUGUUGCUUGUGCUGUUGUUAAAAAUGAUUUCCCGCUGACUGUGCUGUGUGAUACCGAUAAUAUUGUGG
rnacentral:lncRNA from 1 species